AUCUGGGCGGCGGAAUUCAGGAUGGCUGGCCGGGUCUCGCGCCCGUUCGGCCGUUUGAUAUUUCCGUCGCCGUUGCAGACGUCGCGACCUGUUCGUCGUCGGUCCUUGCUCGGAGGAAUCGCGUGCGAGUUCGUUGCGGGGCGUGUUUCGGCGCGUUCCGCGAUGAAGCCGCGGCUCUCUGGCUGACGACGGACAGUAAGCAACGGUGGCCGGCGCGGUGUCUCGCACUCCGCGUCGGUGCCGGUCAGCGACGAUUUCUUCGGGCCUCUUUCCGACCCGUCUUGAAACACGGACCAAGGAGUCUAACAUGCGCGCGAGUCGCGGGGUGUCGAGCGUGCCACGGUGCGCUCGUUACUUCCGAAACCCGUACGUUGAAGGCGUAAUGAAAGUGAACAGGGAAGAUGGCGUUCCGAGUCCACGAACUCUUGAGUAUCGCGGCCGGGCGCCCGCACUCCCGGGGCGUCUCAAUGGCUCGUCGCGGAUGCGGACGGUCGUUCUUCGGGGCGGCCGUCGGUCUGCGACGGACCGA
rnacentral:rRNA from 3 species